CUCCUACGGGAGGCAGCAGUGAGGAAUUUUGCGCGAUGGGGGAAACCCUGACGCAGCAACGCCGCGUGAGUGAAGAAGGCCUUCGGGUCGUAAAGCUCUGUCAAGUGGGAAGAACCCUUUCGGUGUUAACAGCACCGGGAGCUGACGGUACCACUGAAGGAAGCACCGGCUAACUCCGUGCCAGCAGCCGCGGUAAUACGGAGGGUGCAAGCGUUAUUCGGAAUUACUGGGCGUAAAGGGCGCGCAGGCGGCCUGUUAAGUCAGUUGUGAAAGCCCGGGGCUCAACCCCGGAAGUGCGACUGGAACUGGCAGGCUUGAGUAUGGGAGAGGGAAGUGGAAUUCCUGGUGUAGCGGUGAAAUGCGUAGAUAUCAGGAGGAACACCAGUGGCGAAGGCGACUUCCUGGACCAAUACUGACGCUGAGGCGCGAAGGCGUGGGUAGCAAACAGGAUUAGAUACCCUGGUAGUCCACGCAGUAAACGGUGAUCACUAGGUGUUGCGGGCUUUGAUGUCUGCAGUGCCGAAGCAAACGCAUUAAGUGAUCCGCCUGGGGAGUACGGCCGCAAGGUUAAAACUCAAAGGAAUUGACGG
rnacentral:rRNA from 1 species